GCCCAGUUGGCUCAGUAGGAGGAGCAUGGGACUCUUGAUCUCAGGGUUGUGAGUUCGAGCCCCACACUGGGUG
rfam:Felis catus isolate Cinnamon breed Abyssinian chromosome E1, whole genome shotgun sequence.